ensembl:lncRNA
AACGGGGGUUGGGUGGGGGGUCCAACCCGGUGGGUCUGGGGUCCCACAAAGGCUCCAUCACCUCCUGCUGCCGGCUUCCCUUCCGUCUGUCGCUGUGCAAACCCAAGGCAAACGAAGGCGAGUGCCGAUUUUUGGGGUUUUUUUUGGUCGCUCACUCGACGGUGCCGGUGUCGGGUUUUUUUUGGGUUUUUUUUCCUGAUCCGGUGUCGUUUGCUCGGUGCCGGUGUUGUUUUGCUCGGUGCCAGUGUCGUUUGCUCAGUGCCGGUGUCAUUUGCUUGGUACCGGUGUUGUCGGUACCGGUGUUGUUUGCACGGUGCCGGUGUCAUUUUCUCAGUGCCGGUGUCGUUUUGCUCGUUACCGGUGUUGUUGGUACCGGUGUUGUCGGUACCGGUGUCAUUUGCUCGGUGCCGGUGUCAUUUGCUCGGUGCCGGUGUUGUCGGUGCCGGUGUUGUUGGUGCCGGUGUCGUUUGCUCGGUGCCGGUGUUGUUGGUGCCGGUGUCGUUGGCUCGGUACCGGUGUCGUUUUGCUCGGUACCGGCAUCACAGACAGACGUUGAUCUGUUUGGCCAACUCCCUCUCGAGGUCGAGGAUGAGAGCAUCGAAGUCUUUGAGGUUAAGCAUCGGAGCGAACGACGAAUCGCUUUCGUCGCCGAGACCAAAAUCGGUCACGAUAAGGGUCCGGCGAUUCGCGACACGACUGUCGCCGCUCGUCACCUCCUCGUAUCUCCCCAGCUCGAUGCUCCAGUCGCCGGCGUAGCGGUUGCUGGGGGGGCUUUCGGGUCCCCGGGGGCGAUGCCGGGCGACCACGGCUGUGUCCACGAGGUCCAGGCGGAGGGGGGGCUGCUGAGGGUGGCUGGGGGGCGACUGGGGGGCCA